AGAGUUUGAUCCUGGCUCAGGAUGAACGCUGGCGGCAUGCCUAAUACAUGCAAGUCGAACGAGAGACCUUCGGGUCUCUAGUGGCGAACGGGUGAGUAACACGUAGGGAACCUGCCCGUGCACCGGGAAUACGCUCUGGAAACGGAGAACAAAUCCCGAUGUACAGGAAGGAGGCAUCUUCUUUCUGUGAAACAUCCUCUAGGGGAUGGGGCGCGGAUGGACCUGCGGUGCAUUAGUUGGUUGGCGGGGUAAAGGCCCACCAAGACGAUGAUGCAUAGCCGGCCUGAGAGGGCGGACGGCCACAUUGGGACUGAGACACGGCCCAGACACCUACGGGUGGCAGCAGUCGAGAAUCAUUCACAAUGGGGGAAACCCUGAUGGUGCGACGCCGCGUGGGGGAAUGAAGGUCUUCGGAUUGUAAACCCCUGUCAUGUGGGAGCAAAUUAAAAAGAUAGUACCACAAGAGGAAGAGACGGCUAACUCUGUGCCAGCAGCCGCGGUAAUACAGAGGUCUCAAGCGUUGUUCGGAAUCACUGGGCGUAAAGCGUGCGUAGGCUGUUUCGUAAGUCGUGUGUGAAAGGCGCGGGCUCAACCCGCGGACGGCACAUGAUACUGCGAGACUAGAGUAAUGGAGGGGGAACCGGAAUUCUCGGUGUAGCAGUGAAAUGCGUAGAUAUCGAGAGGAACACUCGUGGCGAAGGCGGGUUCCUGGACAUUAACUGACGCUGAGGCACGAAGGCCAGGGGAGCGAAAGGGAUUAGAUACCCCUGUAGUCCUGGCAGUAAACGGUGCACGCUUGGUGUGCGGGGAAUCGACCCCCUGCGUGCCGGAGCUAACGCGUCAAGCGUGCCGCCUGGGGAGUACGGUCUCAAGAUUAAAACUCAAAGAAAUUGACGGGGACCCGCACAAGCGGUGGAGUAUGUGGCUUAAUUCGAUGCAACGCGAAGAACCUUACCUGGGCUUGACAUGUAAUGAACAACAUGUGAAAGCAUGCGACUCUUCGGAGGCGUUACACAGGUGCUGCAUGGCCGUCGUCAGCUCGUGUCGUGAGAUGUUUGGUUAAGUCCAGCAACGAGCGCAACCCCUGUUGCCAGUUACCAGCACGUGAAGGUGGGGACUCUGGCGAGACUGCCCAGAUCAACUGGGAGGAAGGUGGGGACGACGUCAGGUCAGUAUGGCCCUUAUGCCCAGGGCUGCACACGUACUACAAUGCCCAGUACAGAGGGGGCCGAAGCCGCGAGGCGGAGGAAAUCCUAAAAACUGGGCCCAGUUCGGACUGUAGGCUGCAACCCGCCUACACGAAGCCGGAAUCGCUAGUAAUGGCGCAUCAGCUACGGCGCCGUGAAUACGUUCCCGGGCCUUGCACUCACCGCCCGUCAAG
rnacentral:rRNA from 1 species